rnacentral:rRNA from 1 species
UAUACCCUACGGGGGGCAGCAGUCGAGAAUCAUUCAUAAUGGGGGAAACCCUGAUGGUGCGACGCCGCGUGAGUGAGGAAGUAUUUCGGUAUGUAAAGCUCUAUCAGCAGGGAAGAAAAUGACGGUACCUGACUAAGAAGCCCCGGCUAACUACGUGCCAGCAGCCGCGGUAAUACGUAGGGGGCAAGCGUUAUCCGGAUUUACUGGGUGUAAAGGGAGCGUAGACGGAGGAGCAAGUCUGAUGUGAAAAUCCGGGGCCCAACCCCGGAACUGCAUUGGAAACUGUUUAUCUAGAGUGUCGGAGG